ACGGGUGAGUAAUGUCUGGGAAACUGCCUGAUGGAGGGGGAUAACUACUGGAAACGGUAGCUAAUACCGCAUAACGUCGCAAGACCAAAGAGGGGGACCUUCGGGCCUCUUGCCAUCAAAUGUGCCCAGAUGGGAUUAGCUAGUAGGUGGGGUAAUGGCUCACCUAGGCGACGAUCCCUAGCUGGUCUGAGAGGAUGACCAGCCACACUGGAACUGAGACACGGUCCAGACUCCUACGGGAGGCAGCAGUGGGGAAUAUUGCACAAUGGGCGCAAGCCUGAUGCAGCCAUGCCGCGUGUAUGAAGAAGGCCUUCGGGUUGUAAAGUACUUUCAGCGGGGAGGAAGGUGUUGUGGUUAAUAACCGCAGCAAUUGACGUUACCCGCAGAAGAAGCACCGGCUAACUCCGUGCCAGCAGCCGCGGUAAUACGGAGGGUGCAAGCGUUAAUCGGAAUUACUGGGCGUAAAGCGCACGCAGGCGGUCUGUCAAGUCGGAUGUGAAAUCCCCGGGCUCAACCUGGGAACUGCAUUCGAAACUGGCAGGCUAGAGUCUUGUAGAGGGGGGUAGAAUUCCAGGU
rnacentral:rRNA from 1 species